rnacentral:rRNA from 1 species
AAAGGACGGGGCCGAUGUCUGAUUAGCUAGUUGGUGGGGUAAAGGCUUACCAAGGCAACGAUCAGUAGUUGGUCUGAGAGGACGGCCAACCACACUGGGACUGAGACACGGCCCAGACUCCUACGGGAGGCAGCAGUGGGGAAUUUUGGACAAUGGGCGAAAGCCUGAUCCAGCCAUGCCGCGUGAGUGAAGAAGGCCUUCGGGUUGUAAAGCUCUUUUAGUCGGAAAGAAAGGAUUGCAACGAAUAAUUGUGAUUUAUGACGGUACCGACAGAAAAAGCACCGGCUAACUACGUGCCAGCAGCCGCGGUAAUACGUAGGGUGCGAGCGUUAAUCGGAAUUACUGGGCGUAAAGGGUGCGCAGGCGGUUUGCAAGU